rnacentral:misc_RNA from 1 species
CUGUGGUAGGCGGCCCUUCGGGGCAUGUCCCGCCCGAGAUAGAACCCUUGCCUUUGAGUACCGUUCGUUUCCUCGGCAGGCUCGCCUGCCAAUGGGGACCCAAACCAAACCUCUUUGUAUUGUAGUAACCGUCUCAAAACAAUAAAUAUCA